CCCAACUGCUUUCGGUCUUCCUAAAAACCACUGUGCGGUGCGCGCGGGUGGAGGGAAGAGAAAUCUGGAAGGAACUCGCGCGGUGGCGGAAGGAGCUCCAAGGGACGGCUGAUAGAGCCAUGAGUACUGCGAGAUGACCGCGACAGGCUGGGGGAAGGGGAAUCAGCUGCCAUGUUGCGAGGACACUCAAGCAGCCAUGUGGAGAAGCCCAUAUGAAGAAGAACUGAAGCCUUCCUGUAACUAAUUUGCCAGGAUAUCAGAGAUGCUGUUCUAUGGAGGAAAACAAGCACAGAGCUGCUUCCAGAGAGGCUCACAGCCGCAGCAUGGGCAGCAGGGAACAUCUCCAGGGAGAGCCGUCCUCCCCUCCAGGAGUGCGCCACGGCACUGCCUCUGGUGGAGGGGAAUUUUGCUUGUUGUCCAUGUCCUCUUUGUGAACCUGCCUGUGAUUGAUUAAGAGCCAGCUCUGCUUAGGAGGGUGCAGAAGGCAUCUAGGGAGGAGAUGACAAAAGCCUUCAGUUAAUUCCGCUAAAUAAUCUUCUGGGGACCUUCCAAUCAUGGAGUGCUAACCACUAAAUUGCUAAUUAAGUGCCCAGUUAACCUUAUUAAUAAUACUAACUGCACAGGGGCCUCCCUGAUUCUGCUGGAAUGUAUGCUAACGGGGCUAUAAAAAGGCAGCCGUGUUGAGUUCUCAUGAAUGUUUGCACAGGAGAAAGCAUUCAGACAACAACUAAGCAUUCCUUUUGACAUUUGUAUUAAAUUGCUCAUUAGGUUUAUUGUGGAAAUUAAAUUACUGCAAAGCACUGUCCAUUAAUUCCUGAUUAGGCCUGAAUGGCUGUGCUGAUGCAAGUCCGGGCUGUGGUGGAGCUGCUUAGUUAUGUGUGGGCAGGCUGCUAGGUGGUCUGGAUUGCUCAGGAGCCUGGAAAGGGAACAGAUGCUCUAAGCAGAGGGGCUCCAUUUCAGAGAAGCCAGUGAUCAUGCAGAGGAACCAGCAGGGCUGAUGUAAUGGGUCUCUGGAACAAGACUGAGCAAGAAGACAUAGUCUUUUGGCUAAUAAGGUUUUGAGUCUAGAAUGGACUUGUUUAUCUGAUGAUGGUACAAAAAUCCCUGCCUUGAAGAUAUUUAUUUGGGAAAAAUGGGAAGUAUAGCAUAAUGAUUAAGAAUAGGGGUUCUGAUGCCAGGCUGCUUGGGUUUGAAUCUCGGCCAACUAACCAAUUUUGAAGAUAAUUCUGACUAUACUCAGAACUUUCUGAAAAGAAUAUUUUAAAGAACAAACAGAAAGUCCACAGACAAUUUUUAAUUCAUUCUAUCUAAUAAUCCGUGUCUAAGUACCUCUCCAGUUCAUAAACACCCCAUGCUGAUGUUUUCUCUUUGAAGUGUGUAGAGAUGAUUCUUUACAUUUUAUUGGCUGAACGGUGAUGCAGGGAGUGGUUGGAGGUUUAAAAUUUUUGCUUAUUCUGGGGGCUUAAGGGGGUAGGAGAAGAAUAAA